UACAGAGGUGGCAAGCGUUGUUCGGAAUUACUGGGCGUAAAGGGCGCGUAGGUGGCCUUCUUAGUCAGACGUGAAAUCCCCAGGCUUAACCUGGGAACUGCGUCUGAUACUGGAAGGCUCGAGUUCGGGAGAGGAAUGUGGAAUUCCAGGUGUAGCGGUGAAAUGCGUAGAUAUCUGGAGGAAUACCGGUGGCGAAGGCGGCAUCCUGGACCAUUACUGACGCUGAGGCGCGAAAGCUAGGGGAGCAAACGGGG
rnacentral:rRNA from 1 species